GAUGAACGCUAGCGGGAGGCUUAACACAUGCAAGUCGAGGGGCAGCACGAGGUAGCAAUACUUUGGUGGCGACCGGCGCACGGGUGAGUAACGCGUAUGCAACCUACCCUGUACAGGGGGAUAACCCGGAGAAAUUCGGACUAAUACCCCAUAAAGAUAUUUAGAGGCAUCUUUGAAUAUUUAAAGUUACGACGGUACGGGAUGGGCAUGCGUGACAUUAGCUAGUCGGUAGGGUAACGGCCUACCAAGGCUUCGAUGUCUAGGGGUCCUGAGAGGGUGAUCCCCCACACUGCUACUGAGACACGGACCAGACUCCUACGGGAGGCAGCAGUGAGGAAUAUUGGUCAAUGGGCGCAAGCCUGAACCAGCCAUCCCGCGUGAAGGAAGAAUGCGCUAUGCGUUGUAAACUUCUUUUCCAGGGGAAGAAAACCUGAUACGUGUAUCGGCUUGCCGGUACCCUGGGAAUAAGCAUCGGCUAACUCCGUGCCAGCCGCCGCAGUAAUAC
rnacentral:rRNA from 1 species